GGAAAGAUGGUCAAGCGGUUCAAGGCGUAGCAUUGGAACUGCUAUGUAGGCUUCUGCUUACCAAGGGUUUGAAUCCCUCUCUUUCUG
rnacentral:tRNA from 1 species